rnacentral:rRNA from 1 species
CACCGCGGUUAUACGAAAGACCCAAGUUGAUAGCCACGGCGUAAAGGGUGGUUAAGGGUAAUAAUAAAUAAAGCUAAAGAUCCUCUUAGUCGUUAUACACAUUCCGAGGCCACGAAACCCAAACACGAAAGUAGCUUUAAACAAAAUUCACCUGACCCCACGAAAGCUAAGAAA